rnacentral:lncRNA from 1 species
GGAGGGAGGGAGGGAGGGGGGCAGGGGCUGCGGGGGGCGCCCCCUCGCCUCGCACCUCCGGACAGGUGUGCCCCGCCCCCGCCCGGCCUCGGCGGUGCGCGUGCGUGCGUGCGCUUUCAGGUAAUUUCCGAGUAAUUGGCUCAGGACAACUUUCCACUUUGGGAAGCGGUUUCAGCGAAAUCCUGUCGAGCAGCUAGUUUUCGACACGUUCUUUCGGAGACCAGUGACUUCGCGUACAUUUUUUUUUUCUUUUUUUUUUUUUUGGAGCAGCGGGUGCGAGGCGGGCGGAGCGCGCGGUGCCACAGGUUCGCGGAGGGGCGGGGCGGGGGCCGCGGGCGGGCGGAGAGGGCGGCGCGGGGCGCGGGGCGCGGGGCGGGGGCAGCCGCAGGCCGUGCGCGCCGCCGGGCCCUGAGGCUUCUCGGGCUGGAGAAGUUCCCGCGGUUUUGUGCGGCCCCGCAAGGAGCAUCGCCCAGGCGCCCGGAGAGAGGGGGAGGGAGAAGCCGGACCCGACCCCGCGCCUCCCUGCGCCCUGGAGCCGUCGUGCACGGACACCAGGUGAAGAAUGCCGAAUAGGUGUUGUCGAAAGGGCAGAGGAGAAGUCUAUGAGAGGAGUCGUAAGAAUUAAAGUGUGCCAGAUGGAAAGAUCCAGUACUACACCACCUACAGACAAGCGUACCACAUGGAGCAACAGCCCGUCUACAAGUGCUGCCCUGGUUGGAGCCAGUGGGACAAUGAACCUGGCUGCCUAUGCUGCGGUGGGAACAUGUUUCAAAGGAAGGAGGUGCUCAGACGGCGAGGCCCAGCAGAGCCAGUAUUCAGAGGGUUUUCAAGGCCCCCACUGUCAAUAUGAACUCCAUGAAGAGGUCUUGGGCUAAUUUAUUCAAUAUAGUGCCAAACGGCCGUGGAACAUUAGAUUGACUGAUGAUUUUCUCUCUCAGAGAUGUCAGUGGAAACAUUCCUAACUGCCCGAGGCAGUCAUAUGCCACAGCUGGCACCAUAUUUAAACUACUUCCCCACGUAAGUGCAUAAUUUUGUCACCUGGUGAUAAAGAGCAAAGAGCUACAAAAGGAAAUUUUGCAAAAAAUAGUCUUAUUUUCACUUAGCUAAUGCUGCAACUCUGUCAAUUAGGCCUUUUUAGGUAGAUGAAAACAUUUGUGUGCCAAUUAAAUAACUUAGCAAAUUUCAGCAAGACUCAGCAAAAUUCAGAAUGCCAUUUCCUAAAGAUGCAGCCCCAUUCUUGUUAAACAAAGAUGAUCAGAUGCCAUCUAGGACAUUUAGUGGCUCCUCAGAUACUGAAAAAUUUUAAGUCAAAGAAAAAGCACCACUCUUAACUAAGGAAAGCCAAAAAAAGGUAACAAGGGAAACCAAAAUAUUAAAAACAUGAAAUAAUUUUUCAAAAAUAUGUAUACUGGAGGAGAAAUGAUAAAUUAACUUGAAAUGGUAAAUCUUUUCAUUUUUUAUUUCAAAGUGUAGCUCUG